rnacentral:rRNA from 1 species
AGUGAACGCUGGCGGUAGGCCUAACACAUGCAAGUCGAACGGCAGCGCAGUAAGAGCUUGCUCUUACGGGUGGCGAGUGGCGGACGGGUGAGGAAUACAUCGGAAUCUACUUUUUCGUGGGGGAUAACGUAGGGAAACUUACGCUAAUACCGCAUACGACCUACGGGUGAAAGCAGGGGAUCUUCGGACCUUGCGCGAUUGAAUGAGCCGAUGUCGGAUUAGCUAGUUGGCGGGGUAAAGGCCCACCAAGGCGACGAUCCGUAGCUGGUCUGAGAGGAUGAUCAGCCACACUGGAGCUGAGACACGGUCCAGACUCCUACGGGAGGCAGCAGUGGGGAAUAUUGGACAAUGGGCGCAAGCCUGAUCCAGCCAUACCGCGUGGGUGAAGAAGGCCUUCGGGUUGUAAAGCCCUUUUGUUGGGAAAGAAAAGCAGCAGGUUAAUACCCCGCUGUUCUGACGGUACCCAAAGAAUAAGCACCGGCUAACUUCGUG